rnacentral:rRNA from 1 species
GAUGAACGCUGGCGGUGUGCCUAAUACAUGCAAGUCGAGCGAACAGAUAAGGAGCUUGCUCCUUUGACGUUAGCGGCGGACGGGUGAGUAACACGUGGGUAACCUACCUAUAUGACUGGAAUAACUCCGGGAAACCGGGGCUAAUGCCGGAUAACAUUUAGAACCGCAUGGUUCUAAAGUGAAAGAUGGUUUUGCUAUCACUUAUAGAUGGACCCGCGCUGUAUUAGCUAGUUGGUAAGGUAACGGCUUACCAAGGCAACGAUACGUAGCCGACCUGAGAGGGUGAUCGGCCACACUGGAACUGAGACACGGUCCAGACUCCUACGGGAGGCAGCAGUAGGGAAUCUUCCGCAAUGGGCGAAAGCCUGACGGAGCAACGCCGCGUGAGUGAUGAAGGUCUUCGGAUCGUAAAACUCUGUUAUUAGGGAAGAACAAAUGUGUAAGUAUCUGUGCACGUCUUGACGGUACCUAAUCAGAAAGCCACGGCUAACUACGUG